AGAGUGAACGCUGGCGGCAGGCCUAACACAUGCAAGUCGAACGGCAGCACAGCAGAGCUUGCUCUGUGGGUGGCGAGUGGCGGACGGGUGAGGAUAACGUCGGAAUCUGCCUAUUUGUGGGGGUAACGUAGGGAAACUUACGCUAAUACCGCAUACGACCUACGGGUGAAAGCGGAGGACCUUCGGGCUUCGCGCAGAUAGAUGAGCCGACGUCGGAUUAGCUAGUUGGCGGGGUAAAGCCACCAAGGCGACGAUCCGUAGCUGGUCUGAGAGGAUGAUCAGCCACACUGGAACUGA
rnacentral:rRNA from 1 species